GGAGAGGUGGCAGAGUGGUCGAAUGCGCACGCUUGGAAAGCGUGUGUACCGCAAGGUACCGUGGGUUCGAAUCCCACCCUCUCCGCAA
rnacentral:tRNA from 1 species